GACGAACGCUGGCGGCGUGCUUAACACAUGCAAGUCGAACGGUAAGGCCCUUCGGGGUACACGAGUGGCGAACGGGUGAGUAACACGUGGGUGAUCUGCCCUGCACUUCGGGAUAAGCCUGGGAAACUGGGUCUAAUACCGGAUAGGACCACUGCCUGCAUGGGUGGGGGUGGAAAGCUUUUGCGGUGUGGGAUGGGCCCGCGGCUUAUCAGCUUGUUGGGGGGGUGAUGGCCUACCAAGGCGACGACGGGUAGCCGGCCUGAGAGGGUGACAGGCCACACUGGGACUGAGAUGCGGCCCAGACUCCUACGGGAGGCAGCGGUGGGGAAUAUUGCACAAUGGGCGCAAGGCUGGUGCAGCGACGCCGCGUGAGGGAUGACGGCCUUCGGGUUGUAAACCUCUUUCAGCACCGACGAAGCGCAAGUGACGGUAGGUGCAGAAGAAGGACCGGCCAACUACGUGCCAGCCGCCGCGGUAA
rnacentral:rRNA from 1 species